AGGCGUUUCUAGUUAUAAUAUAAUACGUAAAGAUGUGUAUGGGUCAUUUUGACACGAAAACAUUUCAUGAAUGACAUUUGAUGUUUGAAAGUCUCUAGGUUUUGACAUAAAUGCAGACAGAAAUGUAAUUUAAAAAAUAAUAACUAUCAAAUGUUGCACCUGUCAAUACGGAAAUAUUCUGUAGCCUAU